rnacentral:rRNA from 1 species
AUGGUGACCCCGACAGAACAGCGGCGUGAGCCGCGACCUGUGCUUCUCCCGUCGACGACGGAGGGCGCGGAGGUUGGGGUAGGGAUUGCAGGAGAUCCGCACGCACAUGGCGGAGAAGGGCAGCGCCGUCCUUGCCUGCUGCUGCUGCUCCCCGCCGCCGCCGCCAUCGUGCUCCUCGUCCUCCCUCCGCUGCUGCUCGUUGUCGUUGUUGGGAGCGCUCUGUUGCGGUGGAUCUGGCCGCCGCCGGAGCAGUGGAGGGGAGGGGAGGGGAGGAGAGGAGAUCAAGCGAGGGAGAGAGAGCUGAGACGGGGAAAGGAGGCGGCUAGGUUUCCAUCGCGGGAUUGGUGA